CACGUAGGGGACGAGCGUUGUCCGGAUUCAUUGGGCGUAAAGCGCGCGUAGGCGGCUCGGAAAGUCGGUCGUGAAAUGCCGGGGCUCAACCCCGGGACUGCGUCCGAUACUCUCGAGCUGGAGGCAGGUAGGGGAGAUCGGAAUUCCUGGUGUAGCGGUGAAAUGCGCAGAUAUCAGGAAGAACACCAAUGGCGAAAGCAGCUCUCUGGGACGGUACUGACGCUGAGACGCGAAAGCGUGGGGAGCGAACAGG
rnacentral:rRNA from 1 species